rnacentral:lncRNA from 1 species
UUGGUUGAUACGUACUCCAUGGUAUGGAAGUGUAUUAUGUAGUAUGGAAGUGUAUUGUGCUCCGUAUCCUAUGACGGUAUUAAUCCUGGGAGUAAUGAAUGAUUCGGGACGAUCAGAUGAAUUGAAUCAAAAUUUAUUCAAGUCUCCCGAUAAGAUGUUUUAUUUAUUUUUUUCCUAGUUGAUAAUGAUCGAUAGUAAGCGAUCUAUGGGACAAACCUCGGGAUAUCCACUCAGGCAGCCAUGGAUUCUAUUGCGGCUGCUCCCGUCUCAUCUCCAGUCGUUUUGGUUUGUUUUGGUUUGUUUUUUUUCUCUCUCUUUUCUUUUGGUUUGGUUUGGGUUCGUUGACGCCUGUUCCUGACAGCCAAAAUGCAACAUGUCUCCGAACUCAUCCAAUGCUGACGUCACAUUACACCAAUAGAUUCGAUGUGACUACUAGUCCAGUAAAAAAAGAAAUAAAAAUUUCGUUCUGUCGCUUCGUCCCCACUCAUCUUGAAAUGAGUCAUUGGGCCUCAAUUUUCAAACCAUGCGGGAUGGAUCGUAGCACGUACAGCUAUCCACCAUUGUGGACCACCAAUCUUCUGGAAGCUUAGAGAAGAAAAAUUUUCUUCGGUUCUGCCUGUGCGCUUAGAAGCAUCUACUUUCACAUCGCGUUAGGCGAUAAUGUACGUACAUAGUCGCAGUACGUAUCAUGGGCCGAAACCAGGAGGAGUUCUAAAUCAUUCGGGUAGGGCUGACCCUAGCCUUCAGCCUCCUUUUUUCAAUGCCGACCUGUAAACAAACCGAUUAGCAAUACAUGCAAGUUGUUUCAACCUUGUUAGUGAUGGUCUAGCGGGUACUAUUGAAAGUAUCGUGCUAGCGUCAUAAGCUAUACUCUGAUAUCAUGAUGCAGCACUUAAUGACGAAUGACGGGAUUCUUCCUGAUCAAUCAGAUCCCAAGCUUCCCAUCGCCAGCAAUUGCAUAGCUAUUUCACUUUAAUCCGUUCCUUCGGUAGAAAGGGUUGACCUUGAAGCCAAUCUGCUGGCCCCUAAAAGAGCAAUUCGAUAGUCCUCAAAUUCAAGAAACUUGAUUUGCCCCGGAUCGUUAUCUUUUGGUCACUGGAGAAACUUAAAAGGGACUCCUUAAACUGGCCCCUUGAGUCAAGUGAUGUCUUGCCAUGCACUGCGCAUCAGAAACAACCCCCAUUGUGAUAGCCCCCUCCUCAUUUCGGGCACCGAGAGAAAUCAACAAGAAUGUCCGCAUCGAACAAUAGCUGGUGGUGUUUGCAGUAUUGACGAUUGAUGACCACGCAUGGACUGGAGAAAUUAAUGAGGCCGUUUGAUUCUCUGAUGGCGAUUGAAGAAAGGUAAGCGACGGAAGAUUGAUAUCAAUCCCCAAUUGGAAGGCACGUCGCUGAGUUGAUGCCUCGGCUGUCUCCGCGCAACCGUGAAAGUCACGAGAUCAAUAUUUUCUUUUGUUUCCAAUGACUAUUCUUUUGACUUCCACGUCACCAUCGGCGACAGAAAGACCAAGGCUAGACAAUCGUGGACAACAUGUAAAAGCCCAAUGUUUGCCACUUGCCUCCCGCUUGCUGCCAGAUCAUUGAUAAGGGCGGUAGCUCGUGCAUACACGUUUGUCUGAUGAGACCUUGAUUCCAUUGAGCCUCCGAAUCGCCGACGAUCUUCCAUCUUAAUCUUGCGUUCGUUGAACGAUAUCACUCCGGUUCGCUUUCGUACAGAGGCUGCUCCCGCAACUUGAAAGCAAGACACGGAGCCGCUCAUCGAGUCGCUGCCAUUUAUGACAGGUCGGUCACAUGAAUCUCAGCAUCGGGGCGACUUUGAAAUCCGCCAGCUGGCCUUGUAGAUUCGCUUUUACUGUGGUGUGACUGGCCAGCUGUCGUGCGGCAAAUAUUCAUGACAAGCAAUGGCUGCCGUCUGGCCCGUUGUCCGUUAGCAUGCUGGGACAACCGCGACUCACUACGUACAUGAAGGUUGUUGAGGUCGCACAUUUGUCUGAUACAAUCAUGCAGUAUUUCCAUUCUCUUCCCAACGAUGACAAGGGUGUACGGUCAACUGUUCAAUGACACCGACACAGUUUAUACAUUAGGAUUGUUUAUCAUCUCGUUCUCGAAGAAAUAAAUUAGUGGAAGCAUUUUGAGAACCAGCCAGGCUUGACUUUGUCGUUGGUGGCUCACCUCGACUUGAGGUGGAUAGCCGAUACUACGAUCAUUUCUCCACAGAUGACACAACAUGACAUGCAUUAAGAGGUUUGUUCACAACUCUUCAUGACAAUGCAUUAAAUAAAUCGCACCAAAAGCCGAGUAAGAUCGCGCACGAGGAUCGCUUCCAAGGCUCGUAUAGUUAGAUCUCAAAAUCGUGGCCAUUCCUCUGGCAUCCGAAUCGCCGCUCGAUCGUUGUAACUGCAACCGUCCUACUCCAAUUGUCAUAUCUGGAUUCGAAAUAUGUAUCCUGAUUGGCCUACAGCAUCAUGAUACCUUGGGCAAUUCGUAUUGUGCUAUCAUCAUCAAAAGGGCGGUCAGAGUAGUGAUGCCAAUCAAGCCCCAUCAUGUGCUCACAUCUGCAGCCAUCAGACGCAAGGGAUAGUUAGCCGAUAAUGUCCGUCCGCAUAGACUACUAUUACAUACAUCACUAGUUAACCACAUAAGUUAACUACUAAUGUUAACUAACUAGCUGAAAUGGUUACUA